GCACCCAUAGCUCAACGGAUAGAGUACUGGUCUUCGGAACCAGUGAUGAGAGUUCGAUUCCCUCUGGGUGCA
rnacentral:tRNA from 2 species